GAGUUGGGCGCCAUGGCUGCCUUCUGGGCAGAGUGCAGGGCCUGCCUUAAAUGUUGUGGGGGUUCUGUUCUCAACAAAGGCGUAAGUUGGGAGCGACUGAGCCACUCCAGGAGGAGGUGUGGGCCCACGGCGUGUUGGAGGUGGAGCCACAGGACCUGUCCAUAGGUUGGAUGCUGUGUGGGUGACAGAGAGAAACCGGGGCUCACGGCCUGGGCAGCGGGACGGGCGGAGUCGUCCUCACCUGUGCUGGGGACCCUGUGGGAGCAGCAGGCUUCCGAGCACGUGCUGGACCCCGGCGUCUCCGGCUGCACCGAGUGGUCAGGACAUUGAGGCCGGGUCAGGGAGCGUGAGAUACCGGGACGAGCGGGCCCAGGGCUGAGCCCAGCGGCGUCCGGGUGGGCGGUGGCGUUGAGAUGGGAAUUGGGAAUUGCACCGGUGGUCUCAGGAGGAUGGAAAACCCAAGCAGCAGCUGCACCAGGACCGAGGCAAAGGGACCGCAGUUUAACAGAAAACCCAAAACGAGAGCGAGAAAACGGCCAAACACCCGUGCGAGGAGGAAACCCAAGCUCCGCCGAGCGCGGCGGGUCUGUGCCUUCGCUUCGCUUCCAGCCUCUCGCUUCCUUCUGACCCGACCCCGAGUUCUUUCUCCGGACGGUGUCGAGAACCCGGGCGCCGGCUGGGGCUGGAGUCUCGCUGGCCUCGGAGCGCCCCCGAGCCCUCGGGCGACAGCGAGGGAACGCCAGGCCCCCGGACGCGACCCACGCGGCCGCUGCCAGCGGG
rnacentral:lncRNA from 1 species